CUAGCACCAUCCACGGCGCGGUGAAAAAUAUCCCCUUUCUUCUCCGCCGUCAAUUUUCCUCGUCUCUCCCUCCACCAUGCGCCUCAACUCCGCCGCCACCUCUCCUCGGAUGUCCGCCCACGGUCUGCCCAGAGGGACAGAGGGGGCCACCAAGCGACGGCAGAGCGGGUUCAUAGAGACGGAGAGGGUGAGUCCAUGGCCAGACGAGGGAGGAAGACAGAUGGCGGGGUGGAUCGGGUGCCCUAGGCCUAUGCUGUCGGCCUCCUCAUGCUGCUCACCAUCUCCGUCGCCGUCCUCAUCGCCAUCUGCCACUCCUCCUCCCCCCUGCCCAGGCCGCGGGAAGAAGCCGAGAAGGGAGGCCGACCGGCGGCAGCCACGCUCGACAACAUCCUCGCCUUCGCAUCAAGGGAGAGGAAGUCGCCUCUGCGUCCCUCAUCUGUGAGUUUCUUUUCGGGCCACCGACUCCACGGAGCUUGUCAAGAUGGUUGUUACGCAGAUGGUUGUUGUUGUGCUCUUUGUUCGUGUUCGUGCUUGUGUAGCUCCCACUCUGCUGCAGGAGGAUUGGGUUGGAUUGGUUUCCACUUGCCCUGUUCUCUGUUUGAGAACCUGAGAUGCAGCCCUCCAAAUCUUGGGCCCCAGGAAAGGGAGAUUUGUUUUGCUUCUACUCUACAUUCACUGUUGUUAUCUUCACUUUGCCACUCAUGGACGCUUCUUUGUUUCUUUUUUAUGCAUGUGUGGUCUGGGUGACAGGAGAACAAGUUCCUCAAGUUAAUGUGGAAUCCAUUCUCAACUUGUUACCACAGGGGAAUCAAAUUGACAACACAUAUUCUAUAGGUGUUCCUAAUAGCAACAGUGGUAAUCAACAACGAGAAAAAAAAAGUGUGGGGCUGGAUUUGUACUAGCUUGUGCAGUCUUUGCCAAUCUAUAAGCGUUAUUUCGCUGGUUAAAAUAUUUUAAAGGAUGAGCAGUACAGUGGAGGGGAUUGUGUGGCAGUCCAAGGAAGUCUCUAGGAGAAUGCAGUUUUCCGGGUCCAGCUUUUUAACCCUGGACUUUCCGUGGAAGGAUACGUACAUCUGCCUUAUUCGAUAACCAAAACUGGAUGCUCUACCAAGCACCUGUCCAGCCCUGUGUGAGCUACACUUCAAUUUGUAUUCUCAGCAAACCAAAAGAAAUGAUGCUGACAUUCCGGUCAGAUGAAGUGAUUUGUUCAAGCCACAACAAUAAAGAGAAGUCAUCUAUCUUUGGCACCAGAUGGAAUAUGUGGUGAGCUAUCUCAAAAAAGUCCGAAGCCAUUCAUCUUUGGGACCAAGCUGUAUGCACGUAACUGGGCUCUCCAUGGGCAGCAGAUGGAAUAUGUGGCGAGCUAUCUCAAAAAAGUCCGAAGCCAUUCAUCUUUGGGACCAAGCUGUAUGCACGUAGCUGGGCUCUCCAUGGGCAGCAUGGCGCUGGUGAACACCAACAAAGCCUUUGACGCUCUCCUAAAUUAUGAGAACUGUUCCUUCAGAUGCAUGCCAAAACAUCUUCGUCUCACUAUUCACUCCCUGGAGACAUCGUCAUUAAUCUGUAUUGUCACCUAUAGCUUGUAUGGCAAACUUCAUGUUCAUAAUGUUUUUGUGCCAUGUGUGAUGCGCUCAGCAGUUGGUUAUAUUCCCUUGUGGAUUAUUGUUUCCUAUAAAGAGUGGAUCAUCCAUCUAAACUACUAUACAAGUAUCAAUGCAGAUGACCUUAAUUAUCUUUCUUUCUCUUUCAA